GUCACACCCGUUCCCAUCCCGAACACGGAAGUUAAGCUCUUCAGCGCCGAUGGUAGUUGGGGGUUUCCCCCUGCAAGAGUAGGACGUCGCCAGGC
rnacentral:rRNA from 1 species